rnacentral:sRNA from 1 species
GGAAGCUCGGUACUUUAGCAGCAGCGAUGGUGAUCUCUUUACCGGUCUGCGGGUUGCGGCCAGUACGGGCAGCACGUUCCUUAACGGCAAAAGUACCAAAACCUACCAGUGCUACAUCAUCCCCUUCUUUCAGAGAUUCAGUUAC